GUUGAACGCUGGCGGCGUGCCUAAUACAUGCAAGUCAAGCGAACAGACGAGGAGCUUGCUCCUCUUAAGUUAGCGGCGGACGGGUGAUUAACACGUGGAUAACCUACCUAUAAGACUGGGAUAACUUCGGGAAACCGGAGCAAAUACCGGAUAAUAUAUUGAACCGCAUGGUUCAAUAGUGAAAGACGGUUUUGCUGUCACUUAUAGAUGGAUCCGCGCCGCAUUAGCUAGUUGGUAAGGUAACGGCUUACCAAGGCGACGAUGCGUAGCCGACCUGAGAGGGUGAUCAGCCACACUGGAACUGAGACACGGUCCAGACUCCUACGGGAGGCAGCAGUAGGGAAUCUUCCGCAAUGGGCGAAAGCCUGACGGAGCAACGCCGCGUGAGUGAUGAAGGUCUUCGGAUCGUAAAACUCUGUUAUUAGGGAAGAACAAAUGUGUAAGUAACUAUGCACGUCUUGACGGUACCUAAUCAGAAAGCCACGGCUAACUACGUG
rnacentral:rRNA from 1 species